rnacentral:rRNA from 1 species
UACAGAGGGGGCAAGCGCUAUUCGGAAUUAUUGGGCGUAAAGGGCUCGUAGGCGGCCAACUAAGUCAGACGUGAAAUCCCUCGGCUUAACCGGGGAACUGCGUCUGAUACUGGAUGGCUUGAGGUUGGGAGAGGGAUGCGGAAUUCCAGGUGUAGCGGUGAAAUGCGUAGAUAUCUGGAGGAACACCGGUGGCGAAGGCGGCAUCCUGGACCAAUUCUGACGCUGAGGAGCGAAAGCCAGGGGAGCAAACGGG